UUUUUGGUAUAUAUUCUCUCAGCUUUUGGGGAUUUGUGAACGAGGGUUUUUUUUUUUUUAUUGAUUAAUUUUCUGUUUCAUUCGAUUCGCUGUCUAUUCUUGUGUGUUAAGAUUGUGGAUUUUUUUAAUGUAUUUCUGCUGAAGAAUUUGAAUGUGAUUGAGAUGCGUGAGUUGGUAUUGGCUAAUUUACAACGUGGAUUUGAGAAAAUUUCUGUUGGGUUUAUGAUAAUUUAUAUUGCUUUGGGAUUUAUGGUAUGUAUAAUGUAGACUUGAGGUUGUUGUUUCUGAAUUAGAAAUUUUUUUAUGCGGGUCAUCAUUUUGCAUUCAAACUACUUAAAAGAGGACAUAAUGCACUUUGUUUUGGUGCCGGUAACGUAAAUGCAUUGUUUUUAUUACCCGGAAAUAGUGUGAUUUGCAAUUUAUGUGUACAUUUGACUAUUGGUGGAUUCUUAGAUGAUAUUGUGAUCUUGGUCAUUGUAGGUGCAAUUGGUUCGUAUUCAACUGAGAGUACCUGAGUAUGGUUGGACCACUCAGAAAGUCUUCCACUUCCUCAAUUUCUUCGUCAAUGGGGGUUCGUCAUUUGUACCAUUCUCUAUCGUUCCCUGAAUAAGUAGCAUGUGCAUUUCGCAUGAAUGGUUUGAUAUCCUUGUUAUGGUAAAACAAUGCACAAUUGUUUAUUCUUUUUGGCUCUCUCUUUUCUGUUAUGAAAAUGUUCCUCUCUGUGGCAUUAUCGUCAUGCAAUAUCUGUGUUUGUUUGCAAUUCCGUUUUACCAAUUUCUCUAGUUGCUUUGUGUAUUGAAUUUGUAUUUUCCACUGUUCAGUUCGAUGCUUGGUUUUUGUUUUUCGUCGGGACGUUCAAAGUUUGCACCCAGAGGUUAGAAUCCAACAUGGGAAUCUUAUCUUGUCUGCCUACCUUUGUUGAGUUGUUUCUUACUCCUAUGUCCUGUUCAUCUCAUGAACUCGUGUUUGCCAGAUUGUACAACAUAUUUUGCUUGAUAUGCCAAGUCUUCUGUUCUUUACAACCUAUGCACUUCUAGUACUGUUCUGGGCUGAAAUAUACUACCAGGUUAGUGAUUUUCGUUUCCGUGGAAUUAUGAAUUUCUUUUUCUGUUGAAUUUCUUCUUUUAAUUUGAGCAGUAUGUGGUUAAGACUGUCUGAUGAUGAGCUUCUGGCAUGGAAUUUCGGUAGGCGCGUGCUGUAUCUACUGAUGGUUUGAGACCUAGUUUCUUCACCAUAAAUGGGGUGGUGUAUGUUGUUCAGGUGAAAAUUUAUAUCCCUUUUUAUGUUUAUCAAAGCUGAAGAUUUUAGCUAGCAUAUUGGUAUGUGAGGAUAUGUUCUGUUUCAUCACUAUAUUGCUUGUAGUUCAUCAUCUAACGUCCACUUUUGGUUUAUUGCUUAUUUUCUCCCACCUUGAUAAUUAUUUUUAUAACCUUGAGGUGUCCGGGAAUUCAUAUUUUGCAGAAAUUAAAUUCUGUUGAUUUACUUUAUACGACUGACAAAAUUAUGAGCAAAAUCUGAACUUGAUAAGAACUACCUGAUUCUGUUGACUUACUAAUGUCCUACUCGUCACUGGUAUGUUCGUAGGCUGCUCUGCUUGUGAAAAAUAUGCAUUACUGAAAUCUACCUGAGCAGUCCUUUGUGGUGUCUUUUCAUGCCUAUGUGCUAUUCUAUUACAUAUUUGGGUCUUCUAUUUUGACUUUAAGAAAACAUGAUCUUAAACAUGUUUUCCACCUAAUUACACAUUCCAAGUCCUGUGUACUAACAUUCUGAACUUCUGAUCAUGGAAGGCAGAAUGCAUCAUUAAGUUUGAUGUGGGUUCUAUAUAUGAAUUUUUCUCUGGAUAAGAGGUUGAUAGUUAUUUUGGUUUUCAAUUUUCAGUUUGUAGGAGAAUUCAUAUUGUAGUAGUGGAGAUUCAGUAACUUGGUAUUCUUGAACUUAUUAAUGAAGUGUAUAUGUUUAUCUUGAAAUUUUUGUGUACGAUGCUUUGUCCAAGGGUGUGGUAAAAUUGAAGCAGACAACAGGUGAUUGAUUCCCAAUAGUGUAUAGAGUCUAACAUAAGAAUCAAGUUAUAAAAGGUAGAAUAUGGUUAUCAACUAUAAAAUUUGCAUCUAUUGCUGGCUAAGGACAAGGUGUUCCACACUAAUUCUGAGCUUGUUAGUUAUAGCAUUCCACUGUAUUUUCCUCAAAAAAUGUUAUUGGCUAGUAUGUCUCAGAUUAUUUCACUGACUAUUUUUUCAAAUUCUUGCAGAUCAUCUUGUGGCUUAUCAUAUGGUGGAAGCCUGUCCGAGUUCUGAUCAUCUUGUCUAAGAUGUUCUUUGCAGGUUUUUGUAAUUUAUCUUUAAGUUGAAAUGGGAGCUUCUGUGUUAUCAAAACUAACUUCUUCAAUAUGGUAAUUUGUGUUUUGCUAGGCGUAUCUUUGUUUGCCGCUCUGGGGUUUCUUGUGUAUGGCGGAAGGUAUAUAAUUGUCUGUUUUGGUGAUUGAUUCCUAUCCCAUAUCUGUGAGUGUUUGUCCAAAGUGAAUGCAUGCAACUCAGCUAGCAUUCACGUAUAAAUUGUCUGUUUUGGUGACUGAUCCUUAUCCAUAUCUGCAAGUGUUUGUCUAAAGUGAGAGGAUGCAACUCAGCUAGCAUUCAUGUUGAGCUAGCAUCUGCUUGAGUUUCAUGUUUGUACAAGUGUUAGGUAUUCACAUUGACAAGUGUUUGUUCAUUUUGCAAAGUAAAAUAAGUUGUCUUAGUUGCUUCCCCCAGAAAAAACAUCUUUUUGUUGUUGUUAUUAUUAUUAUCAUUAUCAUUAUCUUACCCAGAGAAGUAUGAUAAACAACUUCAUUCUGGUGUCUCAAUAUAUCAAGAAGCCCAAAGGCCUUACUUUCAACAUUUCAAGUGUGAAUUCAACUGUGUGUUUUGUCUAUUGUGGAACAUUAUUAUUAUUAUUAUUUUUUGGUGUGGAACAUUAUUGUUAUUGUUUCAUAUCUGGACUUUUGCUAUUAUAUAAUUGGCUUUUGCAUAUGUUUUUAUUUUUCCCCCUUAGAUUAGGCUCCGUGUCUUAUGCCAUGGUUUUAGCUAUUUGGAAUCUGAUACUUGUUUUGUCAUGGUGUCAGUUGUGACUCUGAAUAUGUCAUUGUGUAGCCUAGGAGACAGUUUAGAUCUACCACUUAUAAGUCUUGUAGUCAAUGACGUGAGGAUGUUCAUCUUGGACUGCUUUUCCAUGAGCAAAUUAUGACUAAAAUUGUGGAAGAGUUUGAUCCCUUACACGUCAGCUCAUACCAGAUUUCUGGGUGGAAAAUUUUGUUGUGGAAGGUGAGAAUCAUGCGGGUUGUUGGACAGGUCAUUGUGCAGGGAUGGAUACUUGAUUUAGAUGGCUGAACACAAUAUAAAGUUAAGAAUAAUUGAUGGAAAAUAAUCUUUAUUGGGGAAGUGUGAAUAAAAUGGGCAUUUAACUUGGUUCCAAGUUCUAUAAGAUGAAACUGGCAUUCCAUGGAGGAAUCUCAGGAUUAUCCUUGGAUAAAGAUUUGAGCUCAGGUGUUAAGGUAAUUUUGUUGGUACAGCAACAAAGUCAUUCAAUGUGUUGUGACAUGCUUGCAAAUGCCAAAGAGAUAAAGAACCUUAAAGCAAGUAGAAGUGGCACAUAAGUGGUGCAUCCAAUUGUUAAUGAUAAGAAGAGGCAACUACUUCAAAAGCUUCAUGCAAUUUAUAUCAUGCAAUUUAUAUAUGGGUGAAAGGUGGUUCUUAAUUGGUGACAAGAGGGGCUGCCGGGGAGUGGGAGUGAAAGGAGAGAGAGAUGUGUUUUCAAAAGGACUGUUUCAGUAGAUACCUCUGAAAGGCUUAGUUUGCAAUUCAGUUUAUCAAAUUGCGGAGUGUAGGUAAUGUGGCAUCCAAAGUUACUAGCUGAUUAAUCCUUUUGGCAGUGAUUAAUUUAAUGCUGCUCUUCUCUUACCUAGAUUGAGCAUAGAGGUUGCAUGUCAUGAUCAUAAGGGUUGAAAUUGUCUGUAUUAAGCUUUAACAGGAUCUCCAUCUGAUAUUAUUUUCACUGGCACACUCUUCCCUCUUCAUUAUGUGAAUGAUAGCAGGUCAAUUUUGGUAGUUGACUGUUUGUCUGCUUUUUCUUGGUUCCUGAUACAUAAUGAUUAACAUCUUGGAGGAGCGCUAAUUUUUGGACGAAUCUCGACUUUUUUUUUAAUUGAUAUCUCCCUACUUUUCUCUUAAGCUUUCUUGUCAUCCAUAUCCUUGCUUUCGACUUUUCGAUAAUCAGUGCUCUCAUUCAUUAUUGAAGUAUCAGUUGAACCUUUAUUCUUGAUUUCAGCUUUAAAAACUCUUUUGGCUGCUCUUCAGAGUGAUUCCAACCAUAGAGCCAGAUAACACCAAACAAUGUCAUCUUUUAAUUGUCUAAACCCUACCCAAUUGAUAUUUUGUCUUUAAAUAUCAGCCUUGAACAGUUGGACUGAAUCGCUAAUAUAUCUGCAGACAUUGGCUUCUGGAGCUUUAUCCUUCAUCACUUUCCCCCUCUUUCCAUUCUCUACCUUUUUUUUUUUCUAAAUUUUUACAAGUAUUGUGUCCGACAUGCUGUGUUUUUUCCCUGUACUCGGAUGAAGAUUUUGUAAUGCAUGUUUUGGUUGAAAUAGGUAUCUGAUACUUUCCAAAUUGUAGAAAUGGAGGGGUCAGCUGCAAUUUUUGAUAAAAGUUUGUUAAAACUGAUAUUUUAGAUUGGUGGAUUUUCAGAUUUUCUUACUGAUACAUAGGUGGGAUGGGAUUGUCUCUGAUUUUCUUUCUGAUAUUUUAGAUUGAUGGUUUUUCUUUGAUAACUGUUGGAGAGAAUUAAUUUUAUGCAAAGGUGGGAUGGGGUUGUCUCUGAUUGUAGGCCCUAGUAUUUUGUAUUUCAGAAUGCAUUGAUUAUUCACGUGAGAUUCCAUUUUAUUUUAUUUGUAUUGGACCUUUCAUUUGCAUUGAACCCUGAACUUUCUUCUUCAUGCAGGCUCUUUUUAAUGUUGCAGCGGUUCCCUGUUGAAUCAAAGGGCAGGCGUAAAAAGUUACAGGAGGUAGGUCAUCAGGAAAUUUGUUUGUUCUGGUACUUCCUAUGUUUUGGUUACUAAAUGCUACAUUUAAUCUCAUUCAUUCAGGUUGGCUAUGUAACCACUAUAUGCUUUUCCUGUUUCCUCAUCAGAUGUAUCAUGGUAAGUCCACUCUAUAACUUACAAUUCUAAACAGCUAAGAUGAGUCAUGGUUUCAUGAACUCCUAUGACAUGAUUUUGGAUUGUGUAAUGUGGUGAACAAAUUCUUAGUACUUAAAGGAAUAAGCUCCCUGAAUAAUUUCUUAGUCCCAGGAUCAUUUUAUUCUGGUAUUAGUCCUAUGAUAUUUUUCACUGUUGAACCACUUACAGUUUUUUAAUUGUUUUGUUCAAUUACUGAAGCAGUCUAAUUGGUGCAAUCCUGGUGUUGGUCUAUGUUUCUAUAUUCAUAUAACAUCUCCUAUUGCCUUGUUGGGUACUACAGAUGUGUUUUGAUGCAUUUGAUGAGGCUGCAGAUCUUGAUGUUUUGGAUCAUCCAAUUCUGAACUUCAUUUAUUACCUCGUAAGUCUCCGUCCAUAGCUGGAGUGAUUGAUGUUUUGCACUUGUGUUUGUGUCUGUAUUUUGAACUCCUGUGUGUUGUCAAGUAAAUGCCAGUAGCAUUUCUCCUGCUUAAGCUUUUUAACUUAUUCAGAACUUGUAUUUUUCUAAAUUUGCUUGUUGGUUGUGAAAGUAAAUGGUUGCUUUUAUCACGUCUUACCAAUUUGGCACCUGAUUUUUAAAUUAGGCAUAUCGCUAAAUGCUAUGCAGUUCUUAUCUGAAUUUAUACGAUUAUAUGGAAUUUGAUAAUUUUCAUAUCUAAAAAUGUUUGAAUUCUAUGAAUAACAAAUACUGGAAAAGUAAUUGGAGUUCAGUUUGUGAUUUUCUUUGUUGUGGCUUAACUAAGUUUUUCUGGUGAUUAAAUCUUGUCACUAUUAGUUUUAAGAAAAUAUAGAUGUUUCUUGGUCUUGAACUAUAUGCCUUUGAGAAUAAUCCUAUAAAUAUAAAAAUACAAUGAUUGAUAAUGUUCCUUUCUUGAGAAUAUUAGGAGAUUGCUCUCAAUUAUUGUUAUUGCAUAAUAUUGAAUAAUGCCUUUAAUAUUGGGCAUGAAAUAUUGUUGCUAAUAAUUCCUACAAAUAUAAAAAUUUAGUGUUAAUUGAUUAGAUUGCUUUCUUAUAGCUAGCUUGUUUGGAUGGAAAGAUUUGAACAGAAAAGAUAAGAAAGGAGGAAAAGUUGACUUGUUAGAUGUUCGGGAGAUUUUCAUGAGAUAGAAAAGAAAGGAACGGAACGGAAGGAUAAAACCUGUGCCUACAGUUUAAAAAAUUUUUCCGACCAAAUUCAGUGCAGAAAAUGAAAGAAACUCGUUGAAAGCCUACUAAUACUCUUUAAAUACCCAGCUAUUGCAUGAAUUUGUAUUGACUUAUGUGCCCAAAAUCAUUCCAUUUCUUUUCAAAACUCCCAAACAACAUUAGAUUCACUUCUAUUCUCUUUUCUUUUCUUUUCUCUCAUAAUUUUAGGUUUCUCAUCCUUACCUUUCUGUUCUAAGCUCACAAACUAGUCAUUAAGAAUAUUUGAGACGAUUCUGUGUUAUAGUGCUGAAUAGUCUUGAACAAUGUUUUUCAUAACGGGCAAAAGAUUUUUGCUAUAGGUGUAUUUUGGUGUUCUUUUGGUAUUUUAUCUGCUUGUUUUUUGUUUGUAAUUCUAGAAAUUUUUUUUUUUGGCAAUGACUAUUAUUCUUUUUUGUUUUUGCUAUACAGUUAGUGGAAAUAGUGCCUUCUUCGCUUGUUCUUUUCAUUUUGAGGAAGUUACCCCCAAAACGUGGGAUUACACAGUAUCAUCCUAUCCGCUAACGGAAGAGACCUGAUAAACAGUUGAAACAAAUGGAUGAAAUCCGGUAGUGCAGUUGACUCGUGGUACUUUCUGGCUCAAAGAUGUGAAAGCAAAAGGGUUGCAAAAUGAUCAUGUGUAUGAAGUUUGGGAUGGUUAGUAAUUCUGAAAUACUGGCCUCUCUUCUUACUUAGCAGAUUGUAGAUCUGUUUUGAACUGGUAGCUACUGGGGCAAGUUAUAUAUGUUGUGAUUUGGCAGUGCAAUCAUCUUGCUGUUGUGCCUAUGGACGUGAUCACUAUUUACUGCCUUUUUUUUUUCAUUAUUUUGGUGCAGCUUUAUGAAUGAUAAUUGUAAACAGCACUUAUAUUAUUGCUAGAAAUGAUUUGGCUCGAUAUCAAUUUUUCAAAAAAUGAACCUCUGUGCAUCGUUAUGGUUUGCUUUUCAGGCUGCACUUUGCCCGGCUCCUAUACUUCAGAAAUUGUUAAUUUGUUUUCAGUCCCCUCAAGUGAAUGUAUAGUUAUUAUGCAAAGCAAAACAAAAGGAAAGCAGCGAUUAACUAAAUCAAGAAAAAAGGGGCGAAAAACACAAAGCAGCGAUUAACCAGUCAAGAAAAAAAAGGGAAGAAAAAUAAAGUUCUUCCCAGAUGAUACUUCUCAUCCGGUUGUGUGAUUAACACAAGAAAGCAGCUCAUACAUGAGAUUUGAUGAAUAUUAUCAGAAAAAAAGCGUUUCAAAAUAAAAGGUCGAAAGAAAUGUGUACCUGUUUACUCUGCGGCGGAGCUUUGUCCGGUUGAGAUGCCGUUCAAAGAAAAAUACAUUAUAGGCUCUGUGGUACAGAAGUUUUGCUCUUUGGUGGAAUGGAUGGUUGGUAGCUCUUUGGCUUGGUGAAGGC
rnacentral:lncRNA from 1 species